GAUGAACGCUGGCGGCGUGCUUAACACAUGCAAGUCGAACGAAGCACUUUAUUUGAUUUCCUUCGGGAUUGAUUAUUUUGUGACUGAGUGGCGGACGGGUGAGUAACGCGUGGGUAACCUGCCUUGUACAGGGGGAUAACAGUUGGAAACGGCUGCUAAUACCGCAUAAGCGCACAGCAUCGCAUGAUGCAGUGUGAAAAACUCCGGUGGUAUAAGAUGGACCCGCGUUGGAUUAGCUAGUUGGUGAGGUAACGGCCCACCAAGGCGACGAUCCAUAGCCGACCUGAGAGGGUGACCGGCCACAUUGGGACUGAGACACGGCCCAAACUCCUACGGGAGGCAGCAGUGGGGAAUAUUGCACAAUGGGCGAAAGCCUGAUGCAGCGACGCCGCGUGAGCGAAGAAGUAUUUCGGUAUGUAAAGCUCUAUCAGCAGGGAAGA
rnacentral:rRNA from 1 species